rnacentral:rRNA from 1 species
AUUAACAUAAAGAGUCGAACCUGCCCAAUGAUAUUUUUAAAUGGCCGCGGUACUCUGACCGUGCAAAGGUAGCAUAAUCAUUUGCCUUAUAAUUGAAGGCUAGUAUGAACGGUUUGACAAGAGUAGCACUGUCUCUACUAAAUUUUAUAGAAUUUGGUUUUUAGGUGAAGAAACCUAAAUAGAAUUGAAAGACAAGAAGACCCUAUCGAGCUUUAAAAAAUUUUUCUUAAAGAUUUUAGUUGGGGCGACUAAGGAACAAUAAAAGCUUCUUUUUUAUAUAUAAACUUAUAUGUUUUGAUCCAAAAAAAUGAUUAAUAGAAUUAGUUACCGUAGGGAUAACAGCAUAAUCUUUUUUGAGAGUUCUUAUCGAAAAAAAGGUUUGUGACCUCGAUGUUGGACUAGGAUAUCCUAAAGGUGUAGAAGCCUUUAAAGGUUGGUCUGUUCGACCAUUAACA